rnacentral:snRNA from 1 species
CGCUUUUAUGAGAAAGAGAGAU